rnacentral:rRNA from 1 species
UUUAAAUACUUUUUAAAGUAUCAAUUGGAGGGCAAGUCUGGUGCCAGCAGCCGCGGUAAUUCCAGCUCCAAUAGCGUAUAUUAAAAUUGUUGCAGUUAAAAAGCUCGUAGUUGAAUUUUUGCUAAAAAUAACCGGUCUGCUUUUAUUAAUAAAAGUGGUAUCUUGGUGUGUUUUUAGCAAUAAUAUCCUUUGAAAUGUUUUUUACUUCAUUGUAAAAAGCAAUUUUCAGGAUUUUUACUUUGAGAAAAUUAGAGUGUUUCAAGCAGGCUAACGUUUUGAAUACUGCAGCAUGGAAUAAUAAAAUAGGAUUUUAGUUCUACGUUAUUGGUUUUAAGAACUAAAUUAAUGAUUGAUAGGAGCAGUUGGGGGCAUUUGUAUUUAACUGUCAGAGGUGAAAUUCUUAGAUUUGUUAAAGACACACUACUGCGAAAGCAUUUGCCAAAGAUGUUUUCAUUAAUC